UGGGGAAUAUUGGACAAUGGGGGGAACCCUGAUCCAGCCAUGCCGCGUGUGUGAAGAAGGCCUUAUGGUUGUAAAGCACUUUAAGCGAGGAGGAGGGUACUGGUAUUAAUACUACCAGCUACUGGACGUUACUCGCAGAAUCAGCACCGGCUAACUCUGUGCCAGCAGCCGCGGUAAUACAGAGGGUGCGAGCGUUAAUCGGAUUUACUGGGCGUAAAGCGUGCGUAGGCGGCUAAUUGAGUCGGAUGUGAAAUCCACGAGCUUAACUUGGGAAUUGCAUUCGAUACUGGUUAGCUAGAGUGUGGGAGAGGAUGGUAGAAUUCCAGGUGUAGCGGUGAAAUGCGUAGAGAUCUGGAGGGAUACCGAUGGCGAAGGCAGCCAUCUGGCCUAACACUGACGCUGAGGUACGAAAGCAUGGGGAGCAAACAGG
rnacentral:rRNA from 1 species